rnacentral:lncRNA from 1 species
UGUUGCUGCUUCUGCAAUCUAUGAUCAACAAAGAAAGAUCCGAUCCGGACAACAAUUGGUAUUAGAGCUUUGGAGCUAGAUCUGGUGUAGAAAAGGUUUGAGACGCCUGAUUUGGAUAAGGAUCUAUCUUGUUCUUAUGUAAUCUACCUUGUUUUACUUAGAAUUAUAUAUAUUUAUGAGUAUUCCUUAUGUGAAAUUGAAAUCUAUGUGAAAUGGUGUCGAGUACCCUUAAGGCAG